GUCAUUCUCUCAGUACGCAGGCGCGGCGGCCGCUUGGGCUGGCGGCUCCGCGGACAUGGGCUGCUCCCCCCUCCCCACGUGGGCUUGUGCUCGGCCGGUGAGUCGACGCGCGCCCCGCGGAGGGGAGGGGGGCCGCACCGCCAUGGUGAGGGGAGCCAAGACACGUGAGCGGCUGGUCGGCUCCCACGGAGGCCGUGGCCGGGCCUCGGUUUCCCCCUCUUGCUGCUCCCUCGCAGCUCUCAGUCUGUGAUUCUGCCCAGCCCCCGCCCCCCCCGCAGAGGGGGCCCUGCGUGUGGGGGUCAGAAUCGGCUUCCCGUGGUGCUCCGGCAUAGACCUGGCGCCCCUCUGACACCCUGGUCUUAGGGUCAGAGGGCGAGGUGACCGUCUGGAGAGGAUGCUGUCUGUAAGGGGCAGAGGGCCUGUGGAGCGGACCUGAGCUCAGAGUGGGGAUACACAGAGUACGUGGCCCUGGCCGAGGGUCCCCCUUGCCCCAUUCCAAGAUGAGGAGACUGAGGCAGGCAGGGAAGAAGUGAUUGUCUCAAGUCACGAAGCUAGGGAAUGUCUGAGGCUGGAUUAGAGUUCGGGUCUUCCAGAUUCCAGGCCUGACGCUCUGUGUCCCAGUGGUGCCCCCAGCAGCCCUCUCCCAUCUUUGCCCUGCCCAAGUGAUGGUGGACGGCGCAUACCCUCACACCACCUGCCCCAGAGGUUCCAGCGAGCCCUCUGAGCCGCUCCCCCACCCCCUCUGGAAGAGAUAAAGCCUUAGUAAUGACUGAGAACACUUGGAGAAGGGGUGUUGAGGAGUGCCCGUCGUGGGACCUUUGAAAACCGAGCGCUACAGAGGCAGGAAGCUCGGCCGGCUGCCCAGCCAGCUCACCAGCGUAGCCAUUGCUGUAGUGAGUCCAAAGGGGAUUGGCGCCGUUACUGUUAAAGAAAAUAAAUUGUUUUGCAAACAGUUCA